GGACUACUCGGGUUUCUAAUCCCGUUUGCUCCCCUGGCUUUCGCGCUGUCAGCGUCAGUGUCGGCCCAGCAACCCGUCUUCACCUCUGGUGUUCCUCUCGAUAUCUACGCAUUUCACCGCUACACCGAGAAUUCCGAUUGCCCCUUCCGCACUCUAGCAAAACAGUAUCACCUGACCGUUCCGGGUUAAGCCCGGAGAUUUCACAGAUGACUUGAAUUGCCGCCUACGCGCCCUUUACGCCCAGUAAAUCCGAACAACGCUUGGUCCCUACGUAUUACCGCGGCGGCUGGCAC
rnacentral:rRNA from 1 species